GGCUUAAGCGCUUGCCAAGGUGAUGUGGGAAACUACAGCAAAUGAAAAACUAAAUUCCCUUACUGCCUACGGUCCACUGACAAGCCCUUGAAACCAGCAGAGUGACCGCCCUCUAGGAGCUCAGCUGCCUCCAUGAUGACACUUUGCUGGGGGCAAAAGGGAAUCUUGACUUAACAUUAUCCUGACCCCCCCGCCCAGGAUCUUAGGAUAAGAUGCUGUUUGGUCCUACCCAAAAUUCUUCCAAAGCUGCCCAGAAGCAUCUUCAGGGGAUCACAGGAGACUGAGGGAGUGAUGUCACUAUUCCAGUAUUUUAAAAAAAUGAGUUGUGAAACGUCACAUAAGGAGACCUUCUUCAGUUCGAGAGAGCACUCCAGUGGCUCAGCAGACACCAGCAUCAACAGUUUUUUCUGCAGCCAGCAAGAAAUGACUGCCAACUUCAAAUCUCUUCCUAACUGUGUGAUCCUGAGUCCUAAAACCCUCACUGAAGUUUUGUUUCCUCUGUCCUGGGAGAAAACGAGCAUCAUCAUCUUCAAAGACAAAGGGACACUAAGAAGAAUCCUGACAAACAGGCCUUGCUAAGUUUCCUCCAGUUCAUUACAAUUACCUCAUGCUCCUAGCCGAUUAUAUUUUUAUGUGACUGCUCUUCAUCAAAGGUAUCAUAAAAUACUCAAGUCUAACUGAUUUUUUGGAUCUCCAUUUCCUUAUGAAGUGUGCUGUGUCCCAUAAAACUUAUAUUAAAUAAAUA